ACUCUCAACAUGCGCUACCAAAUUAUUGGUAUAUGCAAUUUACGGUAAGAAUUAUUCACUGAUAUUCAGAGAGCAAAAUAUUCAGAAAUAUGAAUUAGCUAAGCACCUAAAAUUUGAUUCGACAUGCACCUCUUGGCGCUUGAAUUAGGUUUAUUUUUGUUUGCUCCUCAGGUCCAUGCAUGACAAUCAAUUUGUCCUAAUCAACCUCUGUUUUUUGAAUAAAAUAUAAACCUAACGUUCUUAUGCAUAAAUAGAUAGAGGUGCUUCUGCUUAGAAGAAGAAAAUCGCCACUUUGUGCAACAUGGAUACAUUAUUCGUGUUUAUUUCUCUGCACAUAGGCUUCCAAAUUAAUUAUAUGCGGGAUACACAUGGGCUUCUGUAAACAGCUACAUGAAGUUCAGGCUUAUGUAAACAGCUACAUCAAGUUCAGUUUACUUUCAUCAAUCCUCCAUUUCCUAGGUUGUGUUUAUUUUUGUACAUACUUAUUGGGGAAUUUCUCAAAAGUUAAUAUAUAUGCAUGCCUGUUGGCAACCUAUGAUAUUUUUAUUUGGCUUAUGCUAAAAUCAAAGAUCACUGCCGCGUUGAAUAUGAAGAGGUCACUCAUAUCUGAAUGUCAUAGGUUUUUCUCAAAAGCUAAUAUAUAUGCAUGCAUGUUAGCAUCCUAUGACAUUUUUAUAUGGCCUAUGCUAAAAUCCUACGACACUCCUGCCUUUUCUCUCCCUCGCAGCUACUCGCAUUAGUACACAAGGUCCCAUAUCUAAUUUUAUUUUUGACAAAGUUAUCAUAUGCACGUUCUAUUAGUCUCAAUACUUAUUUAGAGAGCACAAGCACCCAUAUCUGAAUUAAAUUUUUGCACCGAGUUAUCAUAUACAAAUUCUGUUAGGCUGCAUACUUAUUUAGAGAGCAUGUUAAUAUGAUUCUGAUUGCUUCUAUCUAUUACAUGUUACAUUCAACAACUGUGAUACCAUAUAUGUCCUGGAUGACAAGCUUAUUUUCAGAUUUGGUCAGAGCCCACCUGUUGCAAGUGUCGGAUGAUUUUCUGCUGAUGGCAAGGUUCUAGGACGAUUCGGUGGUUCUUGCCGCAUAGUAUUAUUGCUGCUCCCAUUAAUAUACAAGUAUCUGACGAGAAAAUUUCCCGCGGGUGGCUCAAAUGGGGCUGCUGGCACCCUAUACAUGCAUACAACAGUCACACCCUGCCCUCCCUAUUUGAUCAUUCGGCUAGGUAAAUUUUGUUUCAUCCUUUGUUCAGCUUUUAAGUUCAACUAACCUAAUUUACCAUUUUUAUAGUAUCAGCAUGCAUGAGUUGAUUGGCUUAGUUUACUUUGUUUCUCCUACGGAUAGGAAAACAUCUAUGGUUUUAAGCAUGCUACCAGUUGCCUGGUACUUGGUGAGAGACCUAUGUGAUAUUAUUCUUUCAUGAAAACCUCAUUUGAACUACCUCUAUUAAGUUUGCUGCUCAAUUGAUUCUUACAAAAUGUUCCUCAGCAACGCGUGGGGAAUCAUCUAGUAUCAUUUAAAAGGAGGAGGUCAGAAAAUAAGUUCAGGAGUACAUCAUCCCAAGAACCAGGAGUUUUUGAACUAAAAAUUUGUUUUUCUAAUUCAUCAGCCACCUGGUUUGCCUCUCUGAAACAAUGUUCAAAUGAUAGCUUGUGUAAAAUCGGUGGAUAAUUGCUUGCAUUCCGCAACAAUAG
rnacentral:lncRNA from 1 species